rnacentral:rRNA from 1 species
GGGUAGUUUGACUGGGGCGGUCUCCUCCUAAAGAGUAACGGAGGAGCACGAAGGUUGGCUAAUCCUGGUCGGACAUCAGGAGGUUAGUGCAAUGGCAUAAGCCAGCUUGACUGCGAGCGUGACGGCGCGAGCAGGUGCGAAAGCAGGUCAUAGUGAUCCGGUGGUUCUGAAUGGAAGGGCCAUCGCUCAACGGAUAAAAGGUACUCCGGGGAUAACAGGCUGAUACCGCCCAAGAGUUCAUAUCGACGGCGGUGUUUGGCACCUCGAUGUCGGCUCAUCACAUCCUGGGGCUGAAGUAGGUCCCAAGGGUAUGGCUGUUCGCCAUUUAAAGUGGUACGCGAGCUGGGUUUAGAACGUCGUGAGACAGUUCGGUCCCUAUCUGCCGUGGGCGCUGGAGAACUGAGGGGGGCUGCUCCUAGUACGAGAGGACCGGAGUGGACGCAUCACUGGUGUUCGGG